CUAAAUUCUCUGAUUGUAUAGGAAGUGAGGUACACUUCCAUGCCUCACUUGCUUUCUAGCCAAUCCCAAUAGGCUAGUAUCGACUUUUUAUUGCGAAAUUUUUAAGAAUACCCUAAUGUGGUGCAAGGUAUGAGCUUGGGAGAGCCCGUACCUAAUCAUGGGCCUUGAGUCCGUCCUUUAGGCAAUACUCCUAAACCUAUUUCCUUUCCUGAGGGGUAGGUCGCGACAAGAAUGAAGCAAGAACGAAUAUGGACAAGAUCAUCAAGACAAGUUUAACAAUCACCAUACCCAAAAUAUUAUUGCACAUUUCAAUAAACCCACACAGAUAGAAGUAUUAAGUAGAUUUUGAGUGUUAGUCUUAUGCUAAGUAAGCC
rnacentral:lncRNA from 1 species